rnacentral:lncRNA from 1 species
UUUAAUUGGUUGGUGAAUUGCUUCCUCGUUGUUAAGUAAAGUACAGAGGAGUAUGCUACCUACUUCACUUUUUUCGCGCCAACUUUCAGAACCGUUAGAGAUGUCUAACAGAAUAAUAUAUAUUUGUUUUUUUUUUUAGAUAACUUCAACAACAAAACUAGUGUUUUAGUUUACACUUUACACAUAUAGUGAGAAAAUAGUUUAUUUUUGGUAAUAUUAUUU